GCCGAGAUAGCCAAGCCCGGUCAAAGGCGGUGGACUCAAGAUGCACUUCGCAUAAUUGGAACAAAUCCCAUUCUCGGCACCA
rnacentral:tRNA from 1 species